GCUAGUGGCCGACAGGAAGAAAAUGAUGAGUAAGAAAGCAUGAAAAAAGCAAGCAAUCAUCCGCAGCCAGUGCAGGCAGCAGUAUGAGGAAGGAGACACAGGGACAGAACAUUCAGUGAGACACGAUCAGAAUAAUGAUACAGAUAUAAGAUGGAGAAUUACAGUGCCAGCUCUUCUGGAGAAUUUUAGAGCUACCACCCUUCAUCUGUACAUCUGCAUGGCACCUCUGGCCUAUGCCCUGCAGGGAAAGAAAGGAAAAAAAAACUUGCCCCAACAAAGGUUCUUCCUCCAGUGACACAUUUUAGGGAAGAUGGGUUAAAUCAAAUUGGUAUCUUUGCUUUGCUGUUCCAGCGAGGGAGAGGGAGGAAGUUGUCUGCCAAGCAGCCUGCAAUGUGCUUAAACAAUUUCACAUCACGGAACUCUGAGGGCAACAAGGAACUUGGGGGGUGGCGGGCCACCAUUUGAGGAUUUCAGACUGCAAAAGGCUCUCUGAGUGAAGGAAGCCAGAGCAGUGUCCACGAGACACAGGACACAGACAGGAUGUGGUGUGGAGAUGACAGACAAGGAAUAAAAAACUCAGUUCUCAUGGCCAGCGAUAAUCCAAAUACAGAUUCCCCCUCUCUCAAAGGUGAGCUUUUUUUUUUUUUUUUAACUUCAGAAGGGUUAAGAGACAUGACGCUAGAGUUUGUAAAUUCUGACAGGAAUUUAUGAACAGCUAAUAAUCAGUCUGUAAGGUAGAAAGCCCCGCCACCCCUCUGUUAUCUAAUUAAAACAAUGAAGAAUGGAAUUUAAAUAAGCCAGCCAUUGUCCUAAAUAUUUAGGUCCAGACCUCCUGGGUCUAGCUAGACCUUCUGGAACAGGGUGUGGGUGGAUGUGAGUGAGGGAUAUAUUUCUGCCCUUGGGAUCUUCACCUGGCAACUGACUAGCCUGGAGGUCUGAGCUGAGGCACCACCCAUAUUCACUGACCUUGACCUUAGGGGAUGUAUGCAAAUUCCAGGGCCCUUCACAUCCCCAUAAAGCCCUGGUUGCCAGGGAAACCAGUUCUGGGACCAAGAUCACAACUGAUUUGCUUACAGGUAACUAUUUUAAAAAGCUCCUUAAUGGGGCUCCUCAUGCUUAAGGCUCCCAGUUUGAGCUGUGGCUUCACAAGUGCCAGGAUGAUACUCCAGGCUCUCUCAUGUGAAACUCAGUCUAAUAUGAAAAACAGUUUUUAAAAGUCAAAGAGGAGUGGUCCGGGAGGUGGCGCAGUGGAUAAAGUGCUGGACUCUCAAGCGUGAGGUCCUGAGUUCGAGCCCCGGCAGCACAUGUACCAGAGUGAUGUCUGGUUCUUUCUCUCCUCCUAUCUUUCUCAUCAAUAAAUAAAUAAAAUCUUUAAAAAAAAAAAAAAAAAGUCAAAGAGGAAGUGAAUCUGGUCUUCCCCUCCCCCGCCCCCCCAGCAAGUGUUCCUCCCCGCAGCUAAAUGAGCAUCUUUCCCUCUGAGGCAGGAACUCUCGCCAGCUUCACAGCUA